rnacentral:lncRNA from 1 species
CGGAACCACAUUAGGGAGCAACAUUUCUUGACCAUCCCAGCUCUCACCACUUUCCCCGUAGCCUCUUUCCCCAUGGUCUCCCAUCUCAAGAUGAGACCGCAGGCCUGAGAGUGACACUGGGGUCAGCUUUUCUCCAGGAGGUGACUUGUGGCCUUGUGUAGCUGGCCUCCCCAGGGCCCUCCCUCACCACACACACCACAACCAGAUACUGUGAAGAGACAAAACCUCUCUGCCUCCAACUCACCAUAGGGGUCUUGUGGAGGGGGUUGCUGAGAGCAGGGAGGGGAAGGAGUAGAAACAUCAUCGACAUGCAGUAUAAUUUCCUGCUUGCCAGAAUUUCUUAAAUUGAUGUGGCCAACAGCGUUCCUGGUAAAUGUUAAAUUAAUUUGGAAAGUCUUCGUGUAUUGUUUCUUACCAUAAGAAGCACUCAUCACUUCUCACUGGCUAUCUGCCCUGCCUGCAGACGGGGAGGGAAGCUUAACAGGCCGCAGCAAAAAAGUUCAUGAGGCUGCAGCCUGUGGCUUAGCUCAACAGCUAGGAAAUUCCCCUCCCCAAGAUAUCCAAAAUAUUGGGCAGCAAUGAUAGCUUUGUCUUGAAUGCAGAGAAUUCAGAAUUUAUUAAUGCUGCUGCACCAACUGUGAAAGCAAGACUGAAUUGUGCUUAAAGGAAGAUAAAGUGACAUGAGCAUCCUGCUGUGUGGACAUCUUCAGUGCAUCUGGAACCAGAGAAGCAAGUAGAACCUCAGCUUCAUCCUCCACUGAAGGAUGGAAAUAUGAUCGGCGUGUUACAGCACUCAUGCACUAGUGUUAAGAAACACUGAAGAUUGUGGUGAUAAGCACCAUAAGAACUCACAUGAUAACAGAGGAAAAGUGUAGAGAUUUACUUGUCCAUAGUCUGGCUCAGGGGGAAUCAGACACAGGACAUGGGGCCACAGUCUUCCAGCAUUGCAAAGGACAAACUUCUUGCCU